rnacentral:rRNA from 1 species
UGCGAAGGGGGCUAGCGUUGCUCGGAAUUACUGGGCGUAAAGGGCCAGUAGGCGGCCAACUAAGUCGGACGUGAAAUCCCUCGGCUUAACCGAGGAACUGCGUCCGAUACUGAAAGGCUUGAAUCCGGGAGAGGGAUGUGGAAUUCCAGGUGUAGCGGUGAAAUGCGUAGAUAUCUGGAGGAACACCGGUGGCGAAGGCGGCAUCCUGGACCGGUAUUGACGCUGAGGCGCGAAAGCUAGGGGAGCAAACGGGG